rnacentral:rRNA from 1 species
GUACACGCUGUGACUAGCAUAUCAAUAAGCGGAGGAAAAGAAACUAACAAGGAUUCCCCUAGUAACGGCGAGUGAAGCGGGAAGAGCUCAAAUUUGAAAUCUUAAAGGGUUUCCCUUUACGAAUUGUAGUUUAAAGAAGUGUUUUCUGUUGAGGUUUUGGUAAAAGUUCUUUGGAAUAGGACAUCAUAGAGGGUGAGAAUCCCGUAUUUGACCUUUACUUUCAACUUUGUGAUACACUUUCAAAGAGUCGGAUUGUUCGGGAAUGCAGUCCAAAAUGGGUGGUAAAUUUCAUCUAAAGCUAAAUAUUGGCGAGAGACCGAUAGCGAACAAGUACCGUGAGGGAAAGAUGAAAAGAACUUUGAAAAGAGAGUUAAACAGUACGUGAAAUUGUCAAAAGGGAAGCGUUUGACACCAGUGUUGUUUUUCUGAAAAUCAAUUAAAGAACUGUUUAUGCUAAGUUGUUUAGACUUUAUCAGCUAACUGUUUAGUUUUGAGCUUUUCUUUAAUGCACUUUUCAGUUAACAAGUCAACAUCAAUUUCUUUUGCUGUAAAAAAGCUUGAGGAAGGUGGCUUGAGAUUCGUCUUAAGUGUUUAUAGCCUCUUGCCUAUGCAGUCGGAGAGAUUGAGGUCUGCAGCGUAGAUCCUUCGGGGCUAAAUGCAUUUGUGCUAAGUUAUAGCAUUUCAUAGACAACUUGUUGACUAUGAUUUGUCUUGUAGCUUACUCGCUUAUGUUAUUUUACCUACGCUUAGGAUGUUGACGAGACUGUCGAUCUC